rnacentral:rRNA from 1 species
UACGUAGGGGGCAAGCGUUGUCCGGAUUUAUUGGGCGUAAAGAGCGUGUAGGCGGCCAGGGAGGUCCGUUGUGAAAACUCGAGGCUCAACCUCGAGACGCCGAUGGAAACCCCCUGGCUAGAGUCCGGAAGAGGAGAAUGGAAUUCCUGGUGUAGCGGUGAAAUGCGCAGAUAUCAGGAAGAACACCCGUGGCUAAGGCGGCUCACUGGCCCGGUACUGACGCUGAGGCGCGAAAGCGUGGGGAGCAAACAGG